GAUGAACGCUGGCGGCGUGCUUAACACAUGCAAGUCGAACGAAGCACAUUAUUUGAAUUCUUCGGAAGGAAGAUAAUGCGACUGAGUGGCGGACGGGUGAGUAACGCGUGGGUAACCUGCCAUGUACAGGGGGACAACAGUUGGAAACGGCUGCUAAUACCGCAUAAGCGCACGAGAUUGCAUGAUCUAGUGUGAAAAACUCCGGUGGUAUAUGAUGGACCCGCGUCUGAUUAGCUAGUUGGUAAGGUAACGGCUUACCAAGGCGACGAUCAGUAGCCGACCUGAGAGGGUGACCGGCCACAUUGGGACUGAGACACGGCCCAGACUCCUACGGGAGGCAGCAGUGGGGAAUAUUGCACAAUGGGCGAAAGCCUGAUGCAGCGACGCCGCGUGAACGAAGAAGUAUUUCGGUAUGUAAAGUUCUAUCAGCAG
rnacentral:rRNA from 1 species